GUCCUGAAUUUCACUCAGUGCUGACUAUUAAAGAUAAUUUAAUUGAUCUCACCUCUUAUUUGGUUUGGAUACGUGAAAUCCCAUCAAGUUAAAGGAUCACGAGGAAGUCUCUCCCUUAAGGUUCAUGGAGACUCAAGACAAACAAGGUGUUGCUGGUACGAAUGCACACGUCUGCAAAUCUCAGGAAGCUCGGUGUCUGAUGAGGCAUUGAUCCUUACACCGAAUGGACAUGAGACUACGGAAACGGCUGCCACAGGGAAAAGGUAUGUACGGAGCUGCAGCCACACAGAUGUCAAGUUGCUUGAUUCUGCCAAGAGGCCUGCAAAAGCUCUGAAAAGGGGGA
rnacentral:lncRNA from 1 species